UCUGGGAGAGGGGUACCAUUCCCAGGAUUCCCAGGUGUUCCCAUUCAGUGCUGAGGAUAGAAUACAUACAGCACACUAUGGAGUUUGUGCUUAGCUGGGUUUUCUUUGUUGCUAUUUUAAAAGGUGUCCAGUGUGAGGUGAAGCUGGUGGAGUCUGGGGGAGACCUGGUGCAGCCUGGGGGGUCCCUGAGACUCUCCUGUGCAGCCUCUGGAUUCACCUUUAGUAGCUAUGACAUGAGCUGGGUCCGCCAGGCUCCAGGGAAGGGGCUGCAGUGGGUCGCAGAUAUUAGCAGUAGUGGUAGCACAUACUACGCAGACUCCAUGAAGGGCCGAUUCACCAUCUCCAGAGAAGAUGCCAAGAACAUGCUGUAUCUGCAGAUGAACAGCCUGGGAGCUGAGGACACAGCCAUCUAUUUUUGUGUGAGUGACACAGUGAGGCAACAUCAGUGUGAGCCCAGACACAAACCUCACUGUAGAAGGGGAUCUUGACCACCAGGGGUGCAU